rnacentral:lncRNA from 1 species
UCUCAACUUUAACAAUUGCGUUUUUGUUUUUUUUCAGUUGACAACAGAUAAGCAAUAGUGAUGAAAUCUCAUUCAAAAUACUAGUAAACAUAUGCUCAGAGUUAUCCAGUGUUUUGCAGGAAAAAGAAUGAGGAAAAAGACACUCCUGGCCCAGAAUGUUGGAAUGACACUCCAAAGAGAGGACCACCACAGUAAGGAAUGCCCAGGAAGAGACAAUAAAACAGGUUCAUGAGGAUGUGGCAUCAACCCAUUUGAUCGUGGAUUAUUGAGGUUGUUCAAGAAAAGGGCUGGGACAUCAGGAGCCAUGUGGACAGCUUCAGAGAAGCUGCAUGUUGCCAACCAUGUAGGAGUAUUCAAAGGUACAACAACUGGGGUAGCUAGGGUGUAAUUACUGAUCACCAGCCUGCCAUAGAGACAAGUAGUAGAAAAGGAGAAGUGAGGGUGAUGAUGGGAACUGUGAUGAAACAUUCUCUUAGUAAGCAUAAGCAGAAAGAGAUAAAUAAGCUAACACAUGAAAAUUUAAGAAAAAAACAUAAUGGGGGUAGGAUUAAAAAGUGGAAAGUCAUAAAUUGAAUGAAUGCAAAUGACAUUCUUGGAAUUUCAGAGCACUACAGUUGUUCGAUAGUUUUUAACAGAAUGAAAAUGUGACUCAUUAUUCUU